ensembl:lncRNA
UUCUGUUUAUAUCUCUCAUUACUGCUUCUGUGUGAUUACUCAGAAAUUGUGCAAUUCUUUGUCUACUUUACCUUGUUUAACCCAUUGGCUUGCAUAUUGAAAGAGCUUAGUAUUUCCUAAAUGACUGAAUGAAUAACUGCAUAGUUCUUCAAAUAAAGAAAUUUAUUUAAAUUUAUGCACAAAUAUAAGAUGAAAGAGAGGUCAUAGUUGAUUUUCAUCAACUGAUGAAAAUUGCAUAAAAGUAAAUUUUUUUUGCAAGAAAAAGAUUUAAAUGGUAUAUAUCUGAUUAUUGUGUGAUUAGUCAGAACUCUUUUUAGUUGCAAGUUACAGAAACAAAUUGGGUUAAUGAGAAACAAGGGGUGAUUUUCUAUAAAUAUCACAGACUCCAGAGGCACAGUGAGUAUUCCAGAGUAGGAGUAGAGAUAGGAUUCUGACUGGUCAACUUCUGCCAUCACAUUUGUAUGAAUCAUCUCUUCCUGCUUAACAAACCACUCCAGACCAAGCAGCGUAGGACAGUAUUUGGAUGAAUAAUUUAUUCAGGGUACAAAGGGAAUGUCUGGACUCCACUCCAGAGUGUUCAGCCUCUCAUAAAAAGACUAGGAGCAAGGCUCUUUGCUUGACACUCUCACUGACAGCCUCCUUCCAGCUCCACAAGAUUCUGUAAGUCUUCUUAAAGCUCCUUCAGCUUCCAGGACCUGCCUGAGGAAGUUUGCCCACAUUGCCCGAGUAAUAGAACUACUAUGAUAACAUGGAAGAAGGUAUUCACUGUAGAGAUCAGACUUGAUGGAAUGGGGAAGAUGCUGGUCAGUGGGUCAGUGGAUACCUAUCAGCCUGGUGCCACUUCCUGGGGUGUUGAACCUAAAGUUUCUGUAAGUUGGCUGGGGUAUUAGUCAAAAGUGAAAGACGAUUGUUAAGUGGAGAAGAGCAAGGACAAAAUUAAAACCUAUGAGGACCAACUGGGACUCAUGAUGAUGAAUUAGAACUCAUGUUUGUCUGGCACUACCACUAAUGUGAGUGAUGCAGAUGAUUUCUAGGAGAAGUUGGCAAACCACCAAAGACUAUAGAAUUGCUUCAGUCAAUGUUGAAUUUGAUGCUUCACUGGUUAUUCAAACUUCUCAAGACAUAAACUAUGCAGUGUAUGUACAGGAGACAA